GUUGGAUUAUAAAUCGCAAUUUGGCCAAAUUAUGACUUGGGCUAUUAUUCUAUGAGGCUAACGAUAUACAGUAUUGCCACUGUAUGGAAGGCAACACUUCCCCUUAUAUAGAGCUGGUUUACCAGUAAACAACAUUUAAAACUGAGCAGUCAUGCCAACAGACGUCAAUCAAGAGUGACAGUAUGACAGCACAAAGGUGCGCUGUUUGAAAAAAAGAAAAAGUAGAUCUAUCAAUAUUUUAUCAGAACAUCAACACAACAUCGGUACAGUAAUCAUGAUCCCAGGAGUUCUCCCGUCCCACUCAUCCAUCACUCAUUCAGCUCUACCGCUCCUCUCGCUCCGUUUCUCAAGGCAACUAUGAACAGAAGGACCACACAAAGAGAAUGGGCCACGGUUACAGAUUCUCAACACGGUCGACCAAUCAGAAGUUAACGAGAUGGGAGUGUUACAGCCGAUGCCGUCAACAGAAAGUAAACCAAGCAGGUCCCAACGGCUGGCAGGUCUUCUAAGUAGAUCCGCCUCUUCCAUAGGAGUCAAUGAAGAUUUCAAAAGAAGAACAGAACACUAUGUUCUACUGCACAGUGAAUACACAAUCAUGUCAAGUCAACGUUAGUUUGAGAACAGGUAUUCAGGUCGGGCAACCAACCAAAUUCCUCCGCUGCCAAGUACACAGGCG
ensembl:lncRNA